ACCCCAAGUCAGGUGGGAUCACCCACUAAGUUUAAGCAUAUCAAUAAGCGGAGGA
rnacentral:rRNA from 3 species